ensembl:lncRNA
UGGGUCUUGCUGGGCUGCGGCAGUGAGCCCGAAGUGGGUGUCUGAAGGACUGAGCGACCUUGACACCAGCCUGACACAACGGGCCAUUCUUGCAGCAGGCUGGACGGAAUGAGUCAUUGAGGCACUGUAGUCUGGGACUUUGUCUUGCACCCUCCACCCACCCUCUUUUCCCUCCCCUUCCCCAUCUGUGUGUGGCCACCAACCGAAAGGUCUAUUGCUGUAUACCACCGAUAGCUCCCGAAAAUCUAGAGAGGCCUCCUUGACUCCACAAAGGAGCCUCUAUGCUCUGGACGGGAGCGUCUGAAUGGGAGCCUUCUUUUCUCUGUAACAUCAAUGGGGCUCCUUCUGCGCGCUCUGUAGACUUGGGCCUUCAAAGAACCAUCCCUGUGGCGUUUGAGGCCAUAGCACUCCCCUCCUAUGGCCUUCCGUUCUCAUUUCAAAUCACAACACUGGCGGCUCGUAACGGACGAGGCUCUCGCCAAGAACGGGAUGGAGUUCCUUUGGCUGAUCCUGACACUCUGCGCCCUGGUCAAAACCAACCCAGCAGAUGUAAUCACGAACGGACCCCCUAAGGGAAUCGUUCUCCGCAAUGAUCCAGGAUUCCUUAUAACUAACUGCAGAGUACUAACGCAGAGGGUGUUCGUCCGCCUAGAUGCAGAGAACAUGUACCGCCAACACAUUCCACCUUCGGCGCAUUUGAGUUGGACUGGGGCUGACUGGACCACCUAGGCAGGUCCUAUGAUUGAGUGUAGUAUGGCCCAGAGGUGAACGGAAAGACACUGGAGCGACGAACUGCCCUUGCUGUCUCUGCCUGGCCGGUUCCCCUCACUACACGGGGAUUCUCUGCCUCUAACCCUAUUACGGGGGCUGAGUCACUGGCUUAUUGGUGCUCUUCCAUGCCGUCCCCAGGAGGGCUGCGUCACUUGAGUGGGUUGAGUCACUGACAUGAUCUUCCUGUCUGGGUUGGCGCCCACCUCGGGUUUGUGCCGUGGGGGAGAUCUUUGUGGCCUAUACUCAGCCUUGUCUCAAGGUAGUAAAUUGGUGGUUUGAAGAUAUCCCUCUAGUGGUGUGGGGGCUGUGCUUUUGUGAAGU